rnacentral:rRNA from 1 species
AAUGCCUUAGUAACGGCGAGUGAAGCGGCAAAAGCUCAAAUUUGAAAUCUGGUACCUUCGGUGCCCGAGUUGUAAUUUGGAGAGGGCAACUUUGGGGCCGUUCCUUGUCUAUGUUCCUUGGAACAGGACGUCAUAGAGGGUGAGAAUCCCGUGUGGCGAGGAGUGCGGUUCUUUGUAAAGUGCCUUCGAAGAGUCGAGUUGUUUGGGAAUGCAGCUCUAAGUGGGUGGUAAAUUCCAUCUAAAGCUAAAUAUUGGCGAGAGACCGAUAGCGAACAAGUACAGUGAUGGAAAGAUGAAAAGAACUUUGAAAAGAGAGUGAAAAAGUACGUGAAAUUGUUGAAAGGGAAGGGCAUUUGAUCAGACAUGGUGUUUUGUGCCCUCUGCUCCUUGUGGGUAGGGGAAUCUCGCAUUUCACUGGGCCAGCAUCAGUUUUGGUGGCAGGAUAAAUCCAUAGGAAUGUAGCUUGCCUCGGUAAGUAUUAUAGCCUGUGGGAAUACUGCCAGCUGGGACUGAGGACUGCGACGUAAGUCAAGGAUGCUGGCAUAAUGGUUAUAUGCCGC